CUUACUCCACUUGGAGGCUGCAGUUGACUUGGGUCCAGGAGGAACCCUGAGCCCCUUGUGCAUAGCGCUCACCGCUUCCUGCUUUAUCACGUUCUGGAAACAUUAAACACCCACACAUGGAACACACACCGACCAUCACCAGUCUCUGCAGGUUCCACCCCAGCCCACCCAGGUUACUUGUGGCCAAAUCUUGAAUGACCUCAUCCAUUCCCUCUGCCUUGCUGAGCAACUCUUUUGCAUGCUUAAAACACAAACACAACUCUGCUGUCACACCCACCAGGAGCAGCUCACGCAAGGCCACUUGACUGGUGAAGUGUGUCUGAACCAGCUCAAAGCUUGGAAUGUUUGGGGCUAGGGAAGCUGGGGCCUCUCCUGACUCCACAUCCGUGCAGAUGUCUUUCCACUGCUGUGGGAACCACAGCCCUGUGUUUGAGAUUUUGCCAGAUCGGCUACUGAUGGGUGGCUUUGCUGUUUCAGUGUCACAAAUAAAAGAGUCAAAAAGUUUACUACUUCACCUUGUGGUGCUGGAGCCCAGCAUUCUUCCAUUUGAGACGCAUUACCUCCAGCCCAAGCUCAAGAUUUCAUUUGUGUGUUUCUAUUGUUGUUGUUGUAGUUGCUGGGGCUUUUUUGUUUGGUUUGUAUCUGUUGUGAAAAGAGUUCCAUGGUAUUUAUUGAACUUGCCACUUAGCUGAGGAUGACCUUGGACGCACGAGGUCUUCUUAUGUCUACCUCCUAAGUGCUGUGAUGACAAAUGUGUCACUACCAAACCCAGCCCUGUUGACUAUUUAAAAGUAUAGAAUUCAGGGACUGGGAAAGCGGCUCAGUGGGUAAGGGCCUGAGUUCUGUCUCCAGCACCUGUGUAGAUGGUGAACAGGCAGGGUGGCCUACCUGGAAUCCCAUGUGCUCCGGAGGUGGCAACAGGGGACCCCAGAGUAAGCUGGCUCCUGGCAGAGAACCAAUGAAGAAGACAUCCAAUAUUGACUUCUUGCACACAUGAGGGAGGAACCAGGAAAAGCAAAGCCAGACGUGGGCAGUAUCCAGGCUGGGGCAAGGAUGACCCUCAUGGGCUGAUGGAGGCAGGGAGGUCUGGAGUAGACACACAGCUGACUGCAGGCGCCUGUGCUUCAUGAGGUUGGCCGAAAGUCACCACAGGAGUCUCACCCUGAAGACCCAUCCCAGGGACAUCUUCUCUGUAUCCUGGUUCAGCUGGGAUCCAGUGAGAUCCGGUGAGGACCUUUCCUUCCAAGAUGUUUUUCAAUCAUUCUCAAUAGCGGCCACCCUACUGCCAGCAGAAUAGUAAUAGAAACUGAUAUUUAGGGAUCUAUUUUAAAAGUCUGCCAGGCGGCAGUGGUGCACGCCUUUAAUCCCAGCACUCCGGAGGCAGAGGCAGGUGGAUCUCUUCGAGUUCAAAGACAGCCUGGUCUAUAGAGCAAGUUCCAAGACAGGCUCCAAAGCUACAGAGAAACCCUGUCUUUGGAAAAAAAAAAAAAAAAGUCUUUCAGGCUGGGGAUGUGGUUCAGUGCUAGAGCACUUGGUUCAUAGACACAAGGCCCUGGGAUCUAGUCACAAAACUGUGAGAGAAAAAACAAUUUUAAUUAAAUUUCUCCUGGAUUCUAUGCACUGGAAAGUCAUAUGGGUCUCACAUUAUCGCCAGACACUGGGGCUUGUGGUAAAACAGCUGGCGCUGUUUGGUCCUGGAUCCUGUGGUAUCCUGGUGAGGCUGGAGUCUGGCCCAGGCAUGCUUUAGUCGUAUGGAGAUCCAGCGGCCAGUAGGAGCCGGUCACAGGAUACUGGAUGCUCAGAACUCUGGUGCUUCUGGGAGGCCAGGGGUGGCAAG
rnacentral:lncRNA from 1 species